GACGAACGCUGGCGGCGUGCUUAACACAUGCAAGUCGAACGGAAAGGCCCUGCUUUUGUGGGGUGCUCGAGUGGCGAACGGGUGAGUAACACGUGAGUAACCUGCCCUUGACUUUGGGAUAACUUCAGGAAACUGGGGCUAAUACCGGAUAGGAGCUCCUGCUGCAUGGUGGGGGUUGGAAAGUUUCGGCGGUUGGGGAUGGACUCGCGGCUGAUCAGCUUGUUGGUGGGGUAGUGGCUUAGCAAGGCGUUGACGGGUAGCCGGUAGGAGAGGAUGAGCAGCCACACUGGAGCUGAGACACGGUCCAGACUCCUAAGGGAGGAAGCAGUGGGGAAUAUUGGACAAUGGGCGAAAGCGUGAUCCAGCCAUGCCGGGUGUGUGAAGAAGGUCUUCGGAUUGGAAAGGAAUUUAAGUUGGGAGGAAGGGCAGUAAGUUAAUACCUUGCUGUUUUGACGUUACCAACAGAAUAAGCACCGGCUAACUUCGUG
rnacentral:rRNA from 1 species